rnacentral:rRNA from 1 species
UCUGUGCUAAGGUAGCAUAAUCAUUAGUCUUUUAAUUGGGGACUGGUAUGAAUGGCUAAACGAGAAAUCAGCUUUUUUUAUUAUAUAAAUUUAAUUUAUUUUUUUAGUGAAAAAACUAAAAUUUUUCAAAAAGACGAGAAGACCCUAUAGAGUUUUAUGUGGUAAUAAAUUAAAUUAUACUAGAUUUCUACUAAUAGAAUUUUGAUUCACAAUUUGUUGGGGCGACAUUAAGAAAUGACAAACUCUUUUUUUUAAAUACUUUUAUAAAAGUAAUAUUUGAUCCUUUAAAAAAGAUCAUAAGAAAAAAUUACCUUAGGGAUAACAGCGUAAUCUUUUUUGAGAGUUCUAAUCGACAAAAAGGUUUGCGACCUCGAUGUUGGACUAAAAUUUAGGCAUGGUGCAGUAGCUUUGCUUUAGGGUCUGUUCGACCCGUAAUAUUUUACACGAUCUGAGUUCAGACCGGCGUAAGCCAGGUUGGU